UAGGGAAUCUUCGGCAAUGGACGGAAGUCUGACCGAGCAACGCCGCGUGAGUGAAGAAGGUUUUCGGAUCGUAAAGCUCUGUUGUUAGAGAAGAACGUUGGUAGGAGUGGAAAAUCUACCAAGUGACGGUAACUAACCAGAAAGGGACGGCUAACUACGUGCCAGCAGCCGCGGUAAUACGUAGGUCCCGAGCGUUGUCCGGAUUUAUUGGGCGUAAAGCGAGCGCAGGCGGUUCUUUAAGUCUGAAGUUAAAGGCAGUGGCUUAACCAUUGUACGCUUUGGAAACAGGAGGACUUGAGUGCAGAAGGGGAGAGUGGAAUUCCAUGUGUAGCGGUAAAAUGCGUAGAUAUAUGGAGGAACACCGGUGGCGAAAGCGGCUCUCUGGUCUGUAACUAACGCUGAGGCUCGAAAGCGUGGGGAGCAAACAGG
rnacentral:rRNA from 1 species